UACGUAGGGUGCAAGCGUUAAUCGGAAUUACUGGGCGUAAAGCGUGCGCAGGCGGUUGUGCAAGACAGAUGUGAAAUCCCCGGGCUCAACCUGGGAACUGCAUUGGAAACUAACGGGCUCGAGUGUGGCAGAGGGGGGUGGAAUUCCACGUGUAGCAGUGAAAUGCGUAGAGAUGUGGAGGAACACCGAUGGCGAAGGCAGCCCCCUGGGCUAACACUGACGCUCAGGCACGAAAGCGUGGGGAGCAAACAGG
rnacentral:rRNA from 1 species